UUUGGGGUUUGAGGUUUCGGCUUCAUGAUUCUGGAUCAAGACAAUAACAGAACUCUUGUCCGUUUACCUUGAAUAAAAUAGAGUGUUCAAAGCAGGCUGUGACAAAGAAAAAUGCCUUGCAUAUGUUAGCAUGGGAUAAUGGAAUAAGACUUUGAUCUUUGCGGUGAUGUGUUGAAAGGGUUUUGAUGUUGUAGCGAUACAAUAUCGACCAGUCUUUUUCGUUGGUUUUCACAAGAUCGAAGGAAUGAUUGACAGGGACAGUCGGGGGCAUUCGUAUUUAAUCGUCAGAGGUGAAAUUCUUGGAUUGAUUAAAGACGGACGACAGCGAAAGCUUUUGCCAAGGAUGUUCUCAUUAAUCAAGAACGAAAGUUGGGGGAUCGAAGAUGAUCAGAUACCGUCGUAGUCUCAACCAUAAACGAUGCCGACCAGGGAUCAGGAAGCGUUUCUUAUAUAAUCUAUAAUGGCCUUCCUGGCACCUUCUGGGAAACCAAAAGUCUUUGGGUUCUGGGGGGAGUAUGGUCGCAAGGCUGAAACUUAAAGGAAUUGACGGAGGGGCACCACCAGGAGUGGAGCCUGCGGCUUAAUUUGACCCAACACGGGGAAACUCACCAGGUCCAGACUAAAAAAGGAUUGACAGAUUGAGAGCUCUUUCUUGAUUUUUAGCAUGGUGGUGCAUGGCCGUUCUUAGUUGGUGGUGUGAAUUGUCUGGUUAAUUCCGUUAACGAACGAGACCUCUGCUUGCUAACUAGUAAUGCCAACUCCACUGUUAAAAAGAGUUGGUUCUCUUAUUUAUUUGCUUUGGUAGCAAUAUCAAGGUGGGUAAGUGGGGGAAUCAGUUGUGGAACUGGUGAUUUGGGUGUGAAUUGAUUGGGUUAAACUGAUUGGUUUACAUUUGAGUUCCAGCAGAAGCCUCUUGGUAGGGUUGAGCAGCAUACUUCUUAGAGGGACCACUUCGCAGUAUCAUCGAGUGGAAGUUUGAGGCAAUAACAGGUCUGUGAUGCCCUUUAGAUGUUCUGGGCCGCACGCGCGCUACAAUGGCAAGGUCAACGAGUGUAUCACCUUGGCCGAAAGGUCUGGGUAAUCUUUGGCAAACCUUGUCGUGCUGGGGAUAGAUCAUUGCAAUUAUUGAUCUUCAACGAGGAAUUCCUUGUAAGCGUGAGUCAUCAACUCGCGCUGACUACGUCCCUGCUCCUUGUACACACCGCCCGUCGCUCCUACCGAUUGAAUGAUCCGGUGAAGUUUCCGGAGCAAGGUUCCCUGAUUGAGUUCGCUCUGUCAAAGCCUUCUUUGAGCAAAGUUAACUGAACCUUAUCAUUUAGAGGAAGGAGAAGUCGUAACAAGGUAUUCGUAGGUGAACCUGCGAAUG
rnacentral:rRNA from 1 species